rnacentral:lncRNA from 1 species
CAACUUUUGUAGAAGUCUCUUGCAUUGCUCACGUAAAUUGUAUGCUUGGGUGUGUGAAUUCAUUUCUUUGCUGCAUGGAGAAGGUUAAGGCAUGGUUUUCAAUUGGAUGUUUAAGCAUAUUUUAAUUUGUUUUGAGAAUUGAUGCACAAUGGACAAAAGAAAACACAUUUGGUGGUUAAGUGAAGAUAGAAUUUUGAAGUUUGACUUGGUGGAGUGUGGGUCACGGCCAUGUGCCUUUUCUUGGCCAUUUGGACUUUUAAAAUUAAUUUUUAAUUGUCAUUUAGUCAAAGUAAUUUGCUAGGAUUAAAUUAGGCUUGUUGGUUUCCUUGGUUUUUAGUUAAUUUAGUUACUAGGUUGAGUUUAAUGUGUUUGAGUUAGUCUUGCAUUUAAUUAUUUUUAACUGUGUUUGUUAAUUUAUUUGCAGGAGUAUUUGAUGUUUGAAUGUUGUCUAAGGUUUUUAUAGUGUUAGUUUAAUUACCAUGCUAGCUUAAAUUAGUUUGUUUGCAUUUGUGUCUAUAUUCAAUUCUUUAACUUUUGCAAAACACUUUUAAACCCCUCCCCC